rnacentral:rRNA from 1 species
UACGUAGGGUGCAAGCGUUAAUCGGAAUUACUGGGCGUAAAGCGUGCGCAGGCGGUUUUGUAAGUCUGUCGUGAAAGCCCCGGGCUCAACCUGGGAAUUGCGAUGGAGACUGCAAGGCUUGAAUCUGGCAGAGGGGGGGUAGAAUUCCACGUGUAGCAGUGAAAUGCGUAGAGAUGUGGAGGAACACCGAUGGCGAAGGCAGCCCCCUGGGAUAACACUGACGCCUCAUGCACGAAAGCGUGGGGAGCAAACAGG